rnacentral:rRNA from 1 species
UACGUAGGGGGCAAGCGUUGUCCGGAUUUAUUGGGCGUAAAGAGCGUGUAGGCGGCCAGGUAGGUCUGCUGUGAAAACUCGAGGCUCAACCUCGAGACGUCGGCGGAAACCAUCUGGCUAGAGUCCGGAAGAGGAGAGUGGAAUUCCUGGUGUAGCGGUGAAAUGCGCAGAUAUCAGGAAGAACACCGGUGGCGAAGGCGGGUCUCUGGGCCGAUACUGACGCUGAGGAGCGAAAGCGUGGGGAGCGAACAGG